rfam:Oryza rufipogon genomic scaffold, chr05
AAAAACUCAAUUCCUGAAUUUCCGUGUCUAAUGUUUGAUCAUUCGUCUUAUUUGAAAAAAUUAUGAAAAUUUUUUUAAAAAAUAAGUUAUACAUAAAGUAUUAUUCAUAUUUUAUCAUUUAACAAUAAUAAAAAUACUAAACAUAAAAAAAAUUUAAAUAAGACGGACGGUCAAACGUUGGACACGAAAACCGAAUAAUUCAGUCUUU